rnacentral:rRNA from 1 species
AUGAAUUGUGAUGGUGGGCUAUCUACUUUGGGAGACAAAGGGGCUGCCGCGGUUGUUUGCAGAGACAAGUCAGGCACAUACUUGGGAGCCUCGGCUGUUGUUUUCGAAGGCUUGGUUGAUCCGGCAAGUCUGGAAGCGAAAGCGUGUAGCGAGGCUCUAGCCCUCGCGCGAGACCUAAAUCUGAACGACUUGGAGAUUGCUUCAGAUUGUCAGGAAGUAAUCUCAAACAUCACCAAUGGAGGGUCACCUACUUAUGCACCGAUCAUCAGGGAGACAGAGCUCAGUAGGAACCUUUUUUCUUCUGUUAUUUUCCGUUUUGAGCAUAGAGAAACUAAUUUUGAGGCUCACUCGCUAGCUAAAGGAGCUGCGUCUCUGGCGGUGGGUCGCCACGUGUGGCUGGGGGUUUUGCCUGACAUUGCUUGUAUUCCUCGACUUUUAAGUUCUGAAUAA